UACGAGGGGUCCAAGCGUUGUUCGGAAUCACUGGGCGUAAAGCGGGUGUAGGUGGCUUGCCAAGUUGGAUGUGAAAGCCCCGGGCUCAACCCGGGAAGUGCAUCCAAAACUAGUGAGCUUGAGUAAGGAAGAGGAUAGGAGAAUUCCAGGUGUAGUGGUGAAAUACGUAGAUAUCUGGAGGAACACCGGUGGCGAAGGCGCCUGUCUGGUCCAUUACUGACACUCAGACCCGAAAGCGUGGGUAGCAAACAGG
rnacentral:misc_RNA from 1 species